rnacentral:rRNA from 1 species
AGAGUUUGAUUCUGGCUCAGGAUGAACGCUAGCUACAGGCUUAACACAUGCAAGUCGAGGGGCAUCAGGGAUCUAGCUUGCUAGAUUUGCUGGCGACCGGCGCACGGGUGAGUAACGCGUAUCCAACCUUCCCUAUAGUAGAGGAUAGCCCGGCGAAAGUCGGAUUAAUACUCUAUGUUGUAUUUAGAGGACAUCUGAAGAAUACCAAAGGUUUUACCGCUAUAGGAUGGGGAUGCGUCUGAUUAGGUUGUUGGCGGGGUAACGGCCCACCAAGCCUACGAUCAGUAGGGGUUCUGAGAGGAAGGUCCCCCACAUCGGAACUGAGACACGGUCCAAACUCCUACGGGAGGCAGCAGUGAGGAAUAUUGGUCAAUGGACGAGAGUCUGAACCAGCCAAAGUAGCGUGCAGGAUGACGGCCCUAUGGGUUGUAAACUGCUUUUAUACGGGGAUAAAGUGAGGGACGUGUCCCUUUUUGUAGGUACCGUAUGAGUAAGGACCGGCUAAUUCCGUGCCAGCAGCCGC